CGAACGCUGGCGGCGUGCUUAACACAUGCAAGUCGAACGAGACGAUUGAAAGCUUGCUUUUGAAAGUCGAGUGGCAAACGGGGUGAGUAACGCGUAGGCAACCUGCCUCUAGGAUGGGGACAACAGUCCGAAAGGACUGCUAAUACCGAAUGUUGUAGAUAUUCCGCAUGGAGUACCUAUUAAAGAUGGCCUCUACUUGUAAGCUAUCACCUAGAGAUGGGCCUGCGUCUGAUUAGCUAGUUGGUGGGGCAACGGCCUACCAAGGCGACGAUCAGUAGCCGGUCUGAGAGGAUGAACGGCCACAUUGGAACUGAGACACGGUCCAGACUCCUACGGGAGGCAGCAGUGGGGAAUCUUCCGCAAUGGGCGAAAGCCUGACGGAGCAACGCCGCGUGAGUGAAGAAGGCCUUCGGGUCGUAAAGCUCUGUUGUCGGGGACGAAUGUAGUAACCAUCAACAACGGUAACUAAUGACGGUACCUGACGAGGAAGCCACGGCUAACUACGUGCC
rnacentral:rRNA from 1 species